AUUGAACGCUGGCGGCAGGCUUAACACAUGCAAGUCGAGCGGAGAUGAGGUGCUUGCACCUUAUCUUAGCGGCGGACGGGUGAGUAAUGCUUAGGAAUCUGCCUAUUAGUGGGGGACAACAUUCCGAAAGGAAUGCUAAUACCGCAUACGUCCUACGGGAGAAAGCAGGGGAUCUUCGGACCUUGCGCUAAUAGAUGAGCCUAAGUCGGAUUAGCUAGUUGGUGGGGUAAAGGCCUACCAAGGCGACGAUCUGUAGCGGGUCUGAGAGGAUGGUCCGCCACACUGGGACUGAGACACGGCCCAGACUCCUACGGGAGGCAGCAGUUGGGAAUAUUGGACAAUGGGGGGAACCCUGAUCCAGCCAUGCCGCGUGUGUGAAGAAGGCCUUAUGGUUGUAAAGCACUUUAAGCGAGGAGGAGGCUACUGAGACUAAUACUCUUGGAUAGUGGACGUUACUCGCAGAAUAAGCACCGGCUAACUCUGUGCCAGCAGCCGCCGUAAGAC
rnacentral:rRNA from 1 species